rnacentral:snRNA from 1 species
GUGCNCACUUUGGUAGAACAGACACUAAAAUUGGAGCAAUACACAGAUUAGAAUGGCCCCUGCACAAGGAUGACAUGCCAAUUUGUGAGGCAUUCCAUUUUAUC